rnacentral:tRNA from 1 species
AAAACUUUAAGUUAAAAAAACUAUUAAUCUUCAAAAUUAAAAAUAUUAUUUUUUAAUAAGUUUUU